AUAAUUACAAGUUUUUCAAACAAUUUUUAAGUUUUCAAAUCAAAAUUCAGCACUGGACUGCAUAAUUUGUGGUAGUGGGGGACUGCAUUCGUGUUCCCCCCGA
rnacentral:snRNA from 1 species